UACGUAGGGUGCAAGCGUUGUCCGGAAUUAUUGGGCGUAAAGAGCUCGUAGGCGGUUUGUUGCGUCGGCUGUGAAAUCCCGAGGCUCAACCUCGGGUCUGCAGUCGAUACGAGCAAACUAGAGUGUUGCAGGGGAGACUGGAAUUCCUGGUGUAGCGGUGGAAUGCGCCAGAUAUCAGGAGGAACACCAAUGGCGAAGGCAGAUCUCUGGGCCGUAACUGACGCUGAGGAGCGAAAGCAUGGGGGAGCGAACAGG
rnacentral:rRNA from 1 species